CAGCACCUCAAGUGGUCAGGAUGAUUAUUGGGCCUAAAGCAUCCGUAGCCGGCGCUGUAAGUUUUCGUUUAAAUCUGUACGCUCAACGUACAGGCUGCCGGGAAUACUGCAGCGCUAGGGAGUGGGAGAGGUAGACGGUACUCGGUAGGAAGGGGUAAAAUCCUUUGAUCUAUUGAUGACCACCUGUGGCGAAGGCGGUCUACCAGAACACGUCCGACGGUGAGGGAUGAAAGCUGGGGGAGCAAACCGGAUUAGAUACCCGAGUAGUCC
rnacentral:rRNA from 1 species